UGGGGAAUAUUGCACAAUGGGCGAAAGCCUGAUGCAGCAACGCCGCGUGAGGGAUGACGGCCUUCGGGUUGUAAACCUCUUUUAGCAGGGAAGAAGCGAAAGUGACGGUACCUGCAGAAAAAGCGCCGGCUAACUACGUGCCAGCAGCCGCGGUAAUACGUAGGGCGCAAGCGUUAUCCGGAAUUAUUGGGCGUAAAGAGCUCGUAGGCGGUCUGUCGCGUCUGCUGUGAAAACCCGAGGCUCAACCUCGGGCCUGCAGUGGGUACGGGCAGACUAGAGUGCGGUAGGGGAGAUUGGAAUUCCUGGUGUAGCGGUGGAAUGCGCAGAUAUCAGGAGGAACACCGAUGGCGAAGGCAGAUCUCUGGGCCGUAACUGACGCUGAGGAGCGAAAGGGUGGGGAGCAAACAGGCUUAGAUACCCUGGUAGUCCACCCGUAAACNUGGAACUAGUUGUGGGUCCAUUCCACGGAUUCCGUGACGCAGCUAACGCAUUAAGUUCCCCGCCU
rnacentral:rRNA from 1 species